CCUACGGGGGGCAGCAGUGGGGAAUAUUGGGCAAUGGGCGCAAGCCUGACCCAGCAACGCCGCGUGAAGGAAGAAGGCUUUCGGGUUGUAAACUUCUUUUCUCAGGGACGAAGCAAGUGACGGUACCUGAGGAAUAAGCCACGGCUAACUACGGGCCAGCAGCCGCGGUAAUACGUAGGUGGCAAGCGUUAUCCGGAUUUACUGGGUGUAAAGGGCGGGUAGGCGGGGACGCAAGUCAGAUGUGAAAACCACGGGCUCCACCUGUGGCCUGCUUUUGAAACUGUGUUUCUUGAGUACUGGAGAGGCAGCCGGAAUUCCUAGUGUAGCGGUGAAAUGCGUAGAUAUUAGGAGGAACCCCAGUGGCGAAGGCGGUCUGCUGGACAGCAACUGACGCUGAGGCGCG
rnacentral:rRNA from 1 species